rnacentral:rRNA from 1 species
UACGUAGGGUGCAAGCGUUAAUCGGAAUUAUUGGGCGUAAAGCGUGCGCAGGCGGUGAUGUAAGACAGAUGUGAAAUCCCCGGGCUUAACCUGGGAACUGCAUUUGUGACUGCAAGGCUGGAGUGCGGCAGAGGGGGAUGGAAUUCCGCGUGUAGCAGUGAAAUGCGUAGAUAUGCGGAGGAACACCGAUGGCGAAGGCAAUCCCCUGGGCCUGCACUGACGCUCAUGCACGAAAGCGUGGGGAGCAAACAGG